GGAGCAAUAAACACACACAGGGAGAGAUGAAUUAACAGUGGUUAUCUUUGCAGACUCCCACCACAGAGAUAAGAAGGGUGCAGAUGAAGGACAACCUUGUCUGCUGGUCAGGGUGCUGCAGCCCUGGAAAGGAGCCCAGGCUGUCGGGCUGCCAGGUCCUGGCUGGUUUUCCACUCAACGACAGAGGCGAAUGUCAUUCCUCGGAAGAUCAAUGUGAUGGCUGGAGCUCCAGCUGCCACAUUGGACCAUGAAGUGAAUCUGAAGAUAGAAGCUAUGUAAGAAUAGCAGAAGAAAAAGAGAGAGGAAACCUGGGACCUUGAUGACACGAUAGCUCCAACACCAGCCAGAUUCCAGCCUUCUCUCAUAUGAUAGAGAAAUACAUUUCUAUUUUGUUGAAAUCACUGUUAUUUCCUCAUUCACCUGAGACAGCACAAGCCUAGGGAUCUUGGGAAGGCUUUGACUAAAGAGUGAAAAAUUAGGA